CUCAGUAAUGGCCGCAAACACGUUGAAAGCGGGAAGAAAGCUUUUGGCUCUGUCAUGUUAAGGAGAAAAGUAUUUUUCCAACACAAACUUGGCGACGAGGAUGGGAUUGGAUGUGUCAUCUGGACUCUGUUGGAAAGACAGAAAGCCGGCUGCAAAGAAAGAUUCCUCCCUGUGGGUGAGAAGCUGUCCUCAGACGGAGCCCAGUCAUCGCUCCAGUCCCGGAGGAUUUAAAAGGAAAGUAUCACACACGGUGAGUGUUUUAAUGUUGCCUGUGUUUUGAUGUUGCCUGUGAGAGUUUGCAGAGUUAAUCAGAUUGGAAACCGGUAUAUCUCGCAUAAGCACUUGCAGACAGACGUGUCUUGGUUAUUAUUGUAGUAUUUGAGGAUUUCUGGUGUAUCUGCUUGAGAAAGUGGACCAGUUUAUUCUGUAAAUACAAGAGACAAAAUAAUCAGAGGUAAAGGCUGGGUAAAAGUCAGAGUAAGGAGAUGUCCAGAGUGGAGCCAACUCCCAAAAUCCUCCCACCAAUAAUAAAACUAAUGAUGGAGAAAAAUCCUGGAAGCACGAAUCAAUUCAAAUAAUGGGUUGAUUUGGGGUUUCCAGAAAAUGGCAGCUUUAGCCUGAGACAAUUGGACCAACUGAAGACAUGUUUGGAGGCAAAAGAAAAAAAAGUGCAGAGCAGCAUGCAGCUCAGUCCAAAUGUAAACGAGAGAAGCAUGAACAGUUUAAAGCAGACUGGAAGGCAUAUAGCAUGUGGAGAGAGGAGAGGGAAAGAAGGAAUAGAUUAAGAGCACAGACACAAAAAGAGGGAAAAAAACAAUCUGGACACACUAACAUGUUGUAUACUUCUUUGGAGAUUGAAAAGAACAAAAGAGCAAUGAAAGUGUGGCUAGAGGAAGCAGAAUGUAGGGAAAAGAAACAAACACAAAAGUACAUGCCAUAUUCCUCACAGAGGAAAAAACAAAAACUAAUACACUUUGUCCUUCUGUUCCCUUUGUGAGUCAAUAUGUCAAGGUGGAUCGCAACCUCAACGCCUGCCCUCCGACCGCACCUCCACUGCCACAUGAGCCUGGUGGGGGUCUGGGAACAGCAGAAGGAUCCUCCAGACGUCUAGCAGAAACAUCAUCACCUCCACCAACAUCAUCCUCACCCCCUGAUUCAACCACGUCUAAACCUGAUGCUUUACAGACCAGGACUGUGUCACAGCUGAGAGAAGAACUCCCACAGCUGGGUGAGAACACAUAUGGGGACAAAGCUCCAUUAAAUGAUCUCAGACGACACGCUGUACAUGCUGAGGCCGCUAUCAAGGCUCAACAGAGGAGAAAGAAAGACAAAGUUGACAAGGAUCUACACACGGCAGCCUUAACCAUGUACAGGGGUGCUCAGCCUGUGGCUGGCGGACGAGGACGUGGCCGCGGACGUGAAUACGGUGGAGGUGGACACUGGCAAUAUGACCCCAACAUCUGUUUUGACUGUCAUCAGCGAGGACACUGGGCUAAAGACUGCCCACAGAAGAAUGGCUCUGUGCAGACUACAACUGCUGCAAAGUGAGGGCAGGACGGGGCAUGAGGAGAGGAGCAAUCUGACCGCAGCAACACUGACUCACAGACUACAGGAGGUAAUACACACACACACACACACACACUGUUUGCAAUGAAGACCAGCUUUGCUCACACACUACAGGACAUGUCACCUGAUUAACUGCACAGAGGAGAAAUUUGAAUAUGACAUGUAUUUAUUGGACAAAGAAGGCUGCUGCUGUCUCUGUAUCUCUCAUUCACAAGAUGAACUGUUUGAUGGUGCGUCCCCACACGUGUCGCUGACGAAACCUGCCCACUGGACAUGGCAGGAUAUGGGACCAUGGCUCCGCAGACAACAGACCCUCUCUGAUUUCAGCAGAUGGAGAAGCACAUGACUGUCUUCAGAUUCUGAAGUUUGCACACCCAGACCAGAUCUUUCUACUCAGGUCAUACCAAAUGCAGACAUGGAGCUGUUUGUGGAUGGUUCGGCGUCCUGCAACGUGGACACAGGUGCUGCUCGAGAAAUUCUGCAGCAGAUGCAGCCACUAAAGCAGCUGCAUUGGUUCACCUUUCACAGUUAACUGUUUGCUGUUGUCUGUCACUCCUGACACCUGCUCAUCUGCUGAUGUUUCUGUUCUGCAGUCUCUUUCCUCAAGAACGCACCAUUUGGUCAAAAUCAGGUGCCACAUUUAAAGACUCAGUGUGAACUGGUCCAGAUAACAAACCUUGUUUGCCUCGUCCUCUCUUCCACUGUUAUGCAAAACUGUCCCAUGGGAGAGACCAUGUGGGCAAAGGGGGAAUGUGUGCUGCUGUUAAUUCAUCAUGGUACACACGUGGUUUUUCAUUUUCUGCACAGGACUUUUGCAGGAAAAUACAUCAUUUGUGCAGCCAACAACGCAUC